rnacentral:misc_RNA from 1 species
GAAAAGAGCUUCGAAGCUUUCAAGGUUUGAGCUCCAAUGGCGAAACCGGUUCAAAUUGAAGUAUGGAAUCCAAAUGGCAAGUACAGAGUUGUGAGCACAAAGCCUAUGCCUGGAACUCGCUGGAUCAAUCUCUUGAUCGAGCAAGAUUGCCGAGUCGAAAUUUGUACUGAGAAGAAAACGAUACUCUCGGUUGAGGAUAUUAUUGCUCUCAUCGGCGAUAAGUGCGACGGCGUCAUUGGACAGUUGACUGAAGAUUGGGGAGACGUGCUGUUU